rnacentral:rRNA from 1 species
ACAUAGGGUGCAAGCGUUGUCCGGAAUUAUUGGGCGUAAAGAGCUCGUAGGUCGUUUGACACGUCGGAUGUGAAAAUCUGAGGCUUAACCUCAGACCUGCAUUCGAUACGGUCAAACUAGAGUGUGGUAGGGGAGACUGGAAUUCCUGGUGUAGCGGUGGAAUGCGCAGAUAUCAGGAGGAACACCAAUGGCGAAGGCAGGUCUCUGGGCCAUUACUGACACUGAGGAGCGAAAGCGCGGGGAGCGAACAGGAUUAGAUACCCUGGUAGUCCGCGCCGUAAACGGUGGGCACUAGUUGUGGGAACCUUCCACGGAUUCCGCGACGCAGCUAACGCAUUAAGUGCCCCGCCUGGGGAGUACGAUCGCAAGAUUA